CCUACGGGAGGCAGCAGUGAGGAAUAUUGGUCAAUGGACGCAAGUCUGAACCAGCCAUGCCGCGUGCAGGAAGACGGCUCUAUGAGUUGUAAACUUCUUUUGUACGAGGGUAAACUCAAAUACGCGUAUCUGUCUGAAAGUAUCUUACGAAUAAGGAUCGGCUAACUCCGUGCCAGCAGCCGCGGUAAUACGGAGGAUUCAAGCGUUAUCCGGAUUUAUUGGGUUUAAAGGGUGCGUAGGCGGUCGGUUAAGUUAGAUGUGAAAUCCCGAGGCUCAACUUCGGAAUUGCCGUUGAUACUGUCCGGCUAGAGAGCAGUAGAGGUAGGCGGAAUUCAUGGUGUAGCGGUGAAAUGCUUAGAGAUCAUACAGAACACCGAUUGCGAAGGCAGCUUACCAAGCUACUUCUGACGUUGAGGCACGAAAGCGUGGGGAGCAAACAGGAUUAGAUACCCGGGUAGUC
rnacentral:rRNA from 1 species